GCUGUAGCUCAGUGGUAGAGCAACUGCUUUGCUUGCCAAGGUCCCAUAUUCAAUCCCUGGCAUCUCCA